GAUGAACGCUGACAGAAUGCUUAACACAUGCAAGUCUUUGGCGAAGCUGUGCUUGCACAGCCUAGCCAAGGCGGACGGGUGAGUAACGCGUAAGGAACUUGCCCUGCAGUCAGGGAUAACAGACGGAAACGACUGAUAAGACCUGGUAAAGUCAGGCGGACUCAUGUCCAGCCUGAUGAAAAGAGAUGCUGCAGGAGAGCCUUGCGUCCUAUUAGCUCGUUGGUGGGGUAACGGCCCACCAAGGCGAUGAUAGGUAGCCGGCCUGAGAGGGUGGACGGCCACAAGGGGACUGAGAUACGGCCCUUACUCCUACGGGAGGCAGCAGUGGGGAAUAUUGGACAAUGGGGGCAACCCUGAUCCAGCAAUUCUGUGUGCACGAUGAAGGUUUUCGGAUUGUAAAGUGCUUUCAGCAGGGAAGAAAAAAUGACGGUACCUGCAGAAGAAGCGACGGCUAAAUACGUG
rnacentral:rRNA from 1 species